UGAGCUCGUUAAGACUGGAUAGGACCACCCACCCUCCAACUGGGCAUGCGCGAGUGUUUGAGCUCAGUGACCUUUGACAUCAGAGGGCCCAAAACUCCACCCUCAGAACGUGCAGGAGCCUGUAGCCUAGUUACGCCUGCGCAGAAUGUUAGGGCACCUUUUCCAAUCACCUUCCCCCACGCUCCCCUCGCCUCAGACCGCCCUGCCGCUUCGCUCUAUCCCAACCUGGAGAUUCAAGGAGCCUGCCUAAAGGCAGCUCCCGGAUGAAGACUGAGUUGAGGACUGCCAGCUUCCUCAGAGCACACAGAUUUCAGAAAGGAGGACCUAUGAUAAAUUCAAAGAGCCAUCAGGAAUACCCUGGACACAGGUCCCCAAACUAGCCCUGACUAAGUAAGUUGAGCAAGGCAUAAGAAGACAGGUUAAAAAAAAAAAAAAUCACCAUUUCUGGACCGUGCUUUUUCUCUGCGGCAAAAUGGCACUGAGGCAAUCACUGGGACAUUUUGUAAACAGGUACUUUUGACUUUUUUUUUUUUUAAUGGCUUGUGUAUUCCAGUGGAGUACCAGCCC